UACGGGGGGGGCAAGCGUUGUUCGGAAUUACUGGGCGUAAAGGGUUCGUAGGUGGCUUGUUAAGUCAGACGUGAAAUCCCUCGGCUCAACCGGGGAACUGCGUCUGAGGCUGAUGAGCUCGAGUGCAGGAGAGGAACGCGGAAUUCCAGGUGUAGCGGUGAAAUGCGUAGAUAUCUGGAGGAACACCGGUGGCGAAGGCGGCUCACUGGCCCGUAACUGACGCUGAGGCGCGAAAGCUAGGGGAGCAAACAGG
rnacentral:rRNA from 1 species